rnacentral:rRNA from 1 species
AGUGGCGGACGGGUGAGUAACGCGUGAGAAUCUGCCUUGGGGUCGGGGACAACCACUGGAAACGGUGGCUAAUACCGGAUAAGCCGAUUGGUGAAAGAUUUAUUGCCCGAAGAGGAGCUCGCGUCUGAUUAGCUAGUUGGUGAGGUAAGAGCUCACCAAGGCAGCGAUCAGUAGCUGGUCUGAGAGGACGAUCAGCCACACUGGGACUGAGACACGGCCCAGACUCCUACGGGAGGCAGCAGUGGGGAAUUUUCCGCAAUGGGCGAAAGCCUGACGGAGCAAGACCGCGUGAGGGAGGAAGGCUCUUGGGUUGUAAACCUCUUUUCUCAGGGAAGAAGCUCUGACGGUACCUGAGGAAUCAGCCUCGGCUAACUCCGUGCCAGCAGCCGCGGUAAUACGGAGGAGGCAAGCGUUAUCCGGAAUUAUUGGGCGUAAAGCGUCCGCAGGUGGCGAUUCAAGUCUGCUGUCAAAGCACGGGGCUUAACCCCGUAAAGGCAGUGGAAACUGAAUAGCUAGAGUGCCGUAGGGGUAGAGGGAAUUCCCGGUGUAGCGGUGAAAUGCGUAUAGAUCGGGAAGAACAUCGGUGGCGAAAGCGCUCUACUGGACGGCAACUGACACUCAGGGACGAAAGCUAGGGGAGCGAAUGGGAUUAGAUACCCC